rnacentral:rRNA from 1 species
UACGUAGGGCGCAAGCGUUGGCCGGAAUUAUUGGGCGUAAAGAGCUCGUAGGCGGUUUGUCGCGUCUGCUGUGAAAACCUAAGGCUCAACCUUGGGCUUGCAGUGGGUACGGGCAGACUAGAGUGCGGUAGGGGUGACUGGAAUUCCUGGUGUAGCGGUGGAAUGCGCAGAUAUCAGGAGGAACACCGGUGGCGAAGGCGGCACUCUGGGCCGGUACUGACGCUGAGGAGCGAAAGCGUGGGGAGCGAACAGG